AGUGAACGCUGGCGGUAGGCCUAACACAUGCAAGUCGAACGGCAGCACCGUAAGAGCUUGCUCUUACGGGUGGCGAGUGGCGGACGGGUGAGGAAUACAUCGGAAUCUACUUUUUCGUGGGGGAUAACGUAGGGAAACUUACGCUAAUACCGCAUACGACCUACGGGUGAAAGCAGGGGAUCUUCGGACCUUGCGCGAUUGAAUGAGCCGAUGUCGUAUUAGCUAGUUGGCGGGGUAAAGGCCCACCAAGGCGUCGAUCCGUAGCUGGUCUGAGAGGGUGGACGGCCACAUUGGGACUGAGGUAGGGCCCAGAAUGGUAUGGGAGGCAGCAGUGGGGAAUAUUGCAAAUUGGGCGGAAGCCUGAUGCAGCAGCGCCGCGGGCGGGAUGACGGCCUUCGGGUUGUAAACCGCUUUAGCCUGAGACGAAGCGUGGGUGACGGUAAUGAGUAAAGAAGCACCGGCUAACUACGUG
rnacentral:rRNA from 1 species